rnacentral:rRNA from 1 species
ACCCGCUGGAAUUUAAGCAUAUCAAUAAGCGGAGGAAAAGAAACCAACAGGGAUUGCCUCAGUAACGGCGAGUGAAGCGGCAAGAGCUCAAAUUUGAAAUCUGGCCCCUCCGGGGUCCGAGUUGUAAUUUGUAGAGGAUGCUUCGGGUGCGGCCCCCGUCUAAGUGCUCUGGAACGGGCCAUCGGAGAGGGUGAGAAUCCCGUCUGGGACGGGGUGUCCGCGUCCAUGUGAAGCUCCUUCGACGAGUCGAGUUGUUUGGGAAUGCAGCUCUAAAUGGGUGGUAAAUUUCAUCUAAAGCUAAAUACUGGCCGGAGACCGAUAGCGCACAAGUAGAGUGAUCGAAAGAUGAAAAGCACUUUGAAAAGAGAGUUAAACAGCACGUGAAAUUGUUGAAAGGGAAGCGCUUGCGACCAGACUCGCUUCCGGGGUUCAGCCGGCUUUCGGGCCGGUGUACUUCCCCGGGGGCGGGCCAGCGUCGGUUUGGGCGGCCGGUCAAAGGCCCCUGGAAUGUAACGCCCCUCGGGGCGCCUUAUAGCCAGGGGUGUCAUGCGGCCAGCCUGGACCGAGGAACGCGCUUCGGCACGGACGCUGGCAUAAUGGUCGUAAACGACCCGUCUUGAAACACGGACC